UACGGAGGGUGCGAGCGUUGUCCGGAAUCACUGGGUGUAAAGGGCGCGUAGGCGGCAUGCCAAGCGUGUGGUGAAAGCCCGGGGCUCAACCCCGGGUCGGCCGUGCGGACUGGCGUGCUCGAGCACUGUAGGGGCGGGUGGAAUUCCGGGUGUAGCGGUGGAAUGCGUAGAGAUCCGGAAGAACACCGGUGGCGAAGGCGGCCCGCUGGGCAGGAAGGCUCGCAAGAGCCGGCUGACGCUGAGGCGCGACAGCGUGGGGAGCAAACAGG
rnacentral:rRNA from 1 species